UACGGGGGGGGCAAGCGUUGUUCGGAAUUACUGGGCGUAAAGGGCUCGUAGGCGGCCAACUAAGUCGGAUGUGAAAUCCCCAGGCUCAACCUGGGAACUGCAUCCGAUACUGGAUGGCUUGAAUCCGGGAGAGGGAUGCGGAAUUCCAGGUGUAGCGGUGAAAUGCGUAGAUAUCUGGAGGAACACCGGUGGCGAAGGCGGCAUCCUGGACCGGCAUUGACGCUGAGGCGCGAAAGCGUGGGGAGCAAACGGG
rnacentral:rRNA from 1 species